UAGACCGCCUGGGGAGUACGGCCGCAAGGUUAAAACUCAAAUGAAUUGACGGGGGCCCGCACAAGCGGUGGAGCAUGUGGUUUAAUUCGAUGCAACGCGAAGAACCUUACCUGGUCUUGACAUCCACGGAAGAAUUCAGAGAUGGAUUUGUGCCUUCGGGAACCGUGAGACAGGUGCUGCAUGGCUGUCGUCAGCUCGUGUUGUGAAAUGUUGGGUUAAGUCCCGCAACGAGCGCAACCCUUAUCCUUUGUUGCCAGCGGUUAGGCCGGGAACUCAAAGGAGACUGCCAGUGAUAAACUGGAGGAAGGUGGGGAUGACGUCAAGUCAUCAUGGCCCUUACGACCAGGGCUACACACGUGCUACAAUGGCGCAUACAAAGAGAAGCGACCUCGCGAGAGCAAGCGGACCUCAUAAAGUGCGUCGUAGUCCGGAUUGGAGUCUGCAACUCGACUCCAUGAAGUCGGAAUCGCUAGUAAUCGUGGAUCAGAAUGCCACGGUGAAUACGUUCCCGGGCCUUGUACACACCGCCCGUCACACCAUGGGAGUGGGUUGCAAAAGAAGUAGGUAGCUUAACCUUCGGGAGGGCGCUUACCACUUUGUGAUUCAUGACUGGGGUGAAGUCGUAACAAGGUAACCGUAGGGGAACCUGCGGUUGGAUCACCUCCUUACCUGAAAGAA
rnacentral:rRNA from 1 species